rnacentral:lncRNA from 1 species
CUUCAUUCUAAUCAUAACUUUUAAAGCUAUGUAUUAAAAUAUAUGAAAAAAAAACCCUCUAUACCUUUGUAUUCAACUGAAUUUCAAUUAACCAUUUGAGAAGAUUGUGUUUGCCCAGGUUUUGACAAUGUGGCCACUUUCACACAGCACAAACCUCAGGGAUGUCAAUCAUUUCUUAGAGAAUAUAGGUUGUGCAACGAAUCCCAAUUAUCCAGUAUCCAUGACAGGGGCUGUGAUGGCUUUGCCUGGGAUUUCAAAAAUGGACUCAACUUGAAAGUGACAUAUUUCAUUGUGUUCAUUGCAAAACUGAUGCCUUAUCAGAAAACCUAUUUUUCUACUGCCUCUAGAUUAUUGACCACUGCAAACAGACUUAUAAAGUCUUCAUAUAUGCUUCAUCCAGUUCUUUGUACACACCCACAGCAGAGAAAGUUAGUCUAGAUUUGCACAACAUUGGGCUGAGGUCUUGAAUAGGGGUGUUACUUUAUAAUUAACUUUUGAGCUAGAUGAUUUAAACAAACUUCAUUUUUCUCUUUUGUUCUUUUGUUCCCUAUGUUUAUGUUUUUAAAAGAGGAAUAUGCGACAUUUUGGAAAGUUCUCAGAGAAGGAUCAGAGGAUGAGAAUUCACUUUGAGUCAAAUUUAAGGUGUGCUGAAGCCUCCUUCUACGGGGUACAUGUCAACUGAACAGAGAUUUUUUUGUGUGUGUGAAAUGUUUUUUAAGAGCAGUCAAUUUAGAGGUGGAUAUGGUUUCCUCACAAAUUUCAAAAUGUACCUAAGAACUUAGCUUCAUAUCAAAUUCUUUUACUCUUUAUAGUGUUUUAAACUGGGGAGACUUUGGAAAUGAAUUAGUCUUCACCUCAAAGACAUG